CAGUAGCCGCGGGAAUACGUAGGGUGCAAGCGUUAAUCGGAAUUACUGGGCGUAAAGCGUGCGCAGGCGGUUAUAUAAGACAGAUGUGAAAUCCCCGGGCUCAACCUGGGAACUGCAUUUGUGACUGUAUAGCUAGAGUACGGCAGAGGGGGAUGGAAUUCCGCGUGUAGCAGUGAAAUGCGUAAAUAUGCGGAGGAACACCGAUGGCGAAGGCAAUCCCCUGGGCCUGUACUGACGCUCAUGCACGAAAGCGUGGGGAGCAAACAGGAUUAGAUACCCCCGUAGUCCCUGUCUCUUAUAA
rnacentral:rRNA from 1 species